rnacentral:rRNA from 1 species
CUGGAGGUAUCAGAAGUGCGAAUGCUGACAUAAGUAACGAUAAAGCGGGUGAAAAGCCCGCUCGCCGGAAGACCAAGGGUUCCUGUCCAACGUUAAUCGGGGCAGGGUGAGUCGACCCCUAAGGCGAGGCCGAAAGGCGUAGUCGAUGGGAAACAGGUUAAUAUUCCUGUACUUGGUGUUACUGCGAAGGGGGGACGGAGAAGGCUAUGUUGGCCGGGCGACGGUUGUCCCGGUUUAAGCGUGUAGGCUGGUUUUCCAGGCAAAUCCGGAAAAUCAAGGCUGAGGCGUGAUGACGAGGCACUACGGUGCUGAAGCAACAAAUGCCCUGCUUCCAGGAAAAGCCUCUAAGCAUCAGGUAACAUCAAAUCGUACCCCAAACCGACACAGGUGGUCAGGUAGAGAAUACCAAGGCGCUUGAGAGAACUCGGGUGAAGGAACUAGGCAAAAUGGUGCCGUAACUUCGGGAGAAGGCACGCUGAUAUGUAGGUGAAGUCCCUCGCGGAUGGAGCUGAAAUCAGUCGAAGAUACCAGCUGGCUGCAACUGUUUAUUAAAAACACAGCACUGUGCAAACACGAAAGUGGACGUAUACGGUGUGACGCCUGCCCGGUGCCGGAAGGUUAAUUGAUGGGGUCAGCGCAAGCGAAGCUCUUGAUCGAAGCCCCGGUAAACGGCGGCCGUAACUAUAACGGUCCUAAGGUAGCGAAAUUCCUUGUCGGGUAAGUUCCGACCUGCACGAAUGGCGUAAUGAUGGCCAGGCUGUCUCCACCCGAGACUCAGUGAAAUUGAACUCGCUGUGAAGAUGCAGUGUACCCGCGGCAAGACGGAAAGACCCCGUGAACCUUUACUAUAGCUUGACACUGAACAUUGAGCCUUGAUGUGUAGGAUAGGUGGGAGGCUUUGAAGUGUGGACGCCAGUCUGCAUGGAGCCGGCCUUGAAAUACCACCCUUUAAUGUUUGAUGUUCUAACGUUGACCCGUGAUCCGGGUUGCGGACAGUGUCUGGUGGGUAGUUUGACUGGGGCGGUCUCCUCCUAAAGAGUAACGGAGGAGCACGAAGGUUGGCUAAUCCUGGUCGGACAUCAGGAGGUUAGUGCAAUGGCAUAAGCCAGCUUGACUGCGAGCGUGACGGCGCGAGCAGGUGCGAAAGCAGGUCAUAGUGAUCCGGUGGUUCUGAAUGGAAGGGCCAUCGCUCAACGGAUAAAAGGUACUCCGGGGAUAACAGGCUGAUACCGCCCAAGAGUUCAUAUCGACGGCGGUGUUUGGCACCUCGAUGUCGGCUCAUCACAUCCUGGGGCUGAAGUAGGUCCCAAGGGUAUGGCUGUUCGCCAUUUAAAGUGGUACGCGAGCUGGGUUUAGAACGUCGUGAGACAGUUCGGUCCCUAUCUGCCGUGGGCGCUGGAGAACUGAGGGGGGCUGCUCCUAGUACGAGAGGACCGGAGUGGACGCAUCACUGGUGUUCGGGUUGUCAUGCCAAUGGCACUGCCCGGUAGCUAAAUGCGGAAGAGAUAAGUGCUGAAAGCAUCUAAGCACGAAACUUGCCCCGAGAUGAGUUCUCCCUGACUCCUUGAGAGUCCUGAAGGAACGUUGAAGACGACGACGUUGAUAGGCCGGGUGUGUAAGCGCAGCGAUGCGUUGAGCUAACCGGUACUAAUGAACCGUGAGG